AGCAGCCGCGGUAAUUCCAGCUCCAAUAGCGUAUAUUAAAGUUGUUGCAGUUAAAAAGCUCGUAGUUGAAUUUCGGGAUCAGUUCGCUGGUCGUGCCUCUGGUAUGUACUGGUAGUUACUGGUUCCUCCCUUCUGACGAACUGUCAUGUCAUUUAUUUGGUGUGGCAGGGAAUCAGGACUGUUACUUUGAAAAAUU
rnacentral:rRNA from 1 species